rnacentral:lncRNA from 1 species
UCUGAAGAUACUCAAAGCAUAUAUAUUUGAUCUGUAAUUCUGUUAGGAAUGACAUUGUCUAGUAUCCAUUGUUUAAACAUCCAAUUACACGUGAACUAGUAUUUCGCGAAGGAAAGAUGCUAGUACACAAGUCUUAGGAGUGUAAAUCUCAACUCGGUGCACAUCCCAAAAGUCAAGGAUCAAUAUUUGGCUCAGGAAAAAAAAGGAAAAUACCAGGAUGUAAAUACUAAAUACAAAGGCACAAACCCAACCACCAUUCAUAUUUCUAAUGCCACGCAUUAACGCAUCAAGGUUUAUCAGACACUCCAAUAGAUGCGAAAGCCUGCAAAAUGAGAACUAUCUGCCAUCAUACCCAUAGAAAUGCAUGCUGCAUAAAGAGAAAAUCGAGGUUCUGUAUAAAUAUUUUUGGGAAAUUUAGGCUUACUAUCCCUGAGGCAGCUUCAUGGAUAGAAGGGGAAGCCGUACAGUACCGUACCCCGCUGAAACGUAGAAAUCUAUCUCAACUCAAGCUACAAUAUAUUUCAUCUAAAUUACAGGAACAAGAAGCUUCAAGGGGGAACGGGAAAGGGCAAAUGCCAACAGACGUGACAAUGAGAUUUAACUAGAUGAACUAGCACGUCCUUGCCUGAUAACUAUACUUUCCCUCCUGUAAUAUUUCUGCAUCUAUCAGUGGCAAAACAAAAUUAGGAUGCAAAUGUGAUCCACAAAUUCUGCACAAUCAGUAUUUUGAGGUCAGGGAUCCUGUGCAUGAUUAUAAACAGGAAAACCGAUUCAGGUAGCAGCAACACAGAACCUCUAGUUAACCAACAAUGCCAGCAUCUUCACAGCUUGUUGUUUCACUUGAAGGCACGAAACCCUUUUCAUCAGGCAGCAAACUUAUUGAUUCACCCUGUUUGUGCUGCAAAUGCUCAGAAUCNNNNN